UAAAAAUAUAAUAUCUACUCGCAUUCGUAGAUAGAAAACAAUGAAAGCCAGUGCCAAAGCCAACGCCAAAGCGGUUUGAUCUUGAAAUCGUUCACACAUUUGUCUAAAUUGUUUGAGUUAUGCGAGUUUUCCCCCCAGAGGUUGUUUUGUGUGCACUUAAUCCGUCAUUGGAGUGGAUUGAAUGGAUCGGAACGGCCAGCACUUCUUCAAUGCUAAAACCCGUUUCGAAGCCAAAUAACAGUUACGACAUAUUGAUAGAUAUACAUUUCGAUUGGGGAAGGAACUACGCAACAGAAUGGCGACCACAAAACAGCAACAACAUCUACUACUACAGCAACUACUACACAAAACAACAAAAAUAACAGGUUGGAAUCAUAAGGCGACUGCCUUAUGGAUGGCACAGUGAAGACUCUAAAGAGGGGAGGCUAGACUCCAAACUAAAGCCAUAUUUACAUAUGAUAUUAUUCAGAAAUAUGGUAGAAAUAGCAUACAUUUCGAUUUACUCAUUUGUAGGAUUGUAUACCGCCCAAGAAAAAUCUAUACCAUACGCAUCAUAGCUCUGGACUGUGUUAUCGUAUGUUAUCGAAUUAUAUCGAUUUCUAUGUUUGCUAAAAAUCGAAUAUACUUUUGCUAUUGAUUGAAAUAAAGUAUUUCCAUAUCGAAAUUGGUUUUAUGAUCAAUUCUAUAUGGUUAAAAAAACAUUUUGUUAUCGAAAUCGGGCUAAAUAUCCGUUUUAAUAUCGAUCUAGGACUAAAUAUCGCUGUAUCUGUCCAUAGCCCGCUGAUUUCAUCCUAGUAUAUUACCUGCAGAUUGUCUCCUGCAUAAAACGAUUGUUUAUAAAAUUCCAAUUUCAAUAAAUAAUCGAUAAAUCGAUAGUUUAUCAUUCCUA